UCUAGGAUAAUAUAGUACGGGUUUCUCUUAUAACAGUUCGAUGGGAAAAAUCAUUGAAAGUGGUUGUCUUAACUAACUGAUUCAUAGUUUUGACCCCAAUAUUUUCUUUGGGAUUAACUAAAGUACGGAGUAUAAGCAACAGUCAAGUGAAAGCAACGUCCUUUAUACUCUGCCCAAUACUUUUUAUCAAAGAAAUUAAAACUUGAUAAACUCCACUUAAAUUUUGAAAACCUAACCUCCUUUUUUAAUAUCCUCCUUCAAUUCGUUCACUCAGAGAUUCAUUCUCGUAUCUACUUUUCAGCCUCUGGAGAACAAGAUGAUGCUCAUGCCCCAUUCUGAUCAUGUCGUCAUCGAACGUACAUUCCCAGCCCAUGGAAUGAUUCGUGCUUUUAAAAUUAUGUUUUAUCUGUAAAUUGUAAGGUUAUACGAGAAGAAUUACUGGCGCCGAACAAAUCUGUAUAGGCGAAACCGUGAAAUUGAGCAGUGGAUUUUGAUGCGGAGUAGUUGUUAAAGUUUGAGGAUGGCGACGGUCGAAUUAUGAACUGAUUGAAAUAUGCAAAUCGCUGUUAUUACUUUAUGAUAUUAGGUGUUCGUUUUUUAGUUUGUAUGGUUGUUCGCAUAUCCCUUUUUUCCUAUUGUUAUUAUGGAGUAUAUGCUUGUACGUGGAUGCUUGUUUAAUACUCCCUCUGUAUUUAUUUAAGUGAUACACUUGUUUUUUCCGGCCG